rnacentral:rRNA from 1 species
GAGAGCAGAAAGAUUUAUCGCCGGGGGAUCGGCCCGCGUCCGAUUAGCUAGUUGGUGGGGUAACGGCUCACCAAGGCGACGAUCGGUAGCUGGUCUGAGAGGAUGAUCAGCCACAUUGGGACUGAGACACGGCCCAAACUCCUACGGGAGGCAGCAGUGGGGAAUAUUGGACAAUGGGCGCAAGCCUGAUCCAGCCAUGCCGCGUGAGUGAUGACGGCCUUAGGGUUGUAAAGCUCUUUCGCCAGGGACGAUAAUGACGGUACCUGGAUAAGAAGCCCCGGCUAACUUCGUGCCAGCAGCCGCGGUAAUACGAAGGGGGCUAGCGUUGUUCGGAAUUACUGGGCGUAAAGCGCGUGUAGGCGGGUCUUUAAGUCAGGGGUGAAAUGCCAAGGCUCAACCUUGGAACUGCCUUUGAUACUGGAGAUCUUGAGUCCGGGAGAGGUGAGUGGAACUGCGAGUGUAGAGGUGAAAUUCGUAGAUAUUCGCAAGAACACCAGUGGCGAAGGCGGCUCACUGGCCCGGAACUGACGCUGAGACGCGAAAGCGUGGGGAGCAAACAGGAUUAGAUACCCUGGUAGUCCACGCUGUAAACGAUGGAUGCUAGCCGUUGGGGAGCUUGCUCUUCAGUGACGCAGCUAACGCAUUAAGCACUCCGCCUGGGGAGUACGGCCGCAAGGUUA